rnacentral:miRNA from 1 species
UUCGUUCUUCUCCAGUAAUUGACC